rnacentral:rRNA from 1 species
AACGAACGCUGGCGGCAUGCCUAACACAUGCAAGUCGAACGAGACCUUCGGGUCUAGUGGCGCACGGGUGCGUAACGCGUGGGAACCUGCCCUUAGGUUCGGAAUAACUCCCCGAAAGGGGUGCUAAUACCGGAUAAUGUCUUCGGACCAAAGAUUUAUCGCCUUUGGAUGGGCCCGCGUUGGAUUAGCUAGUUGGUAGGGUAAAAGCCUACCAAGGCGACGAUCCAUAGCUGGUCUGAGAGGAUGAUCAGCCACACUGGGACUGAGACACGGCCCAGACUCCUACGGGAGGCAGCAGUGGGGAAUAUUGGACAAUGGGCGAAAGCCUGAUCCAGCAAUGCCGCGUGAGUGAUGAAGGCCUUAGGGUUGUAAAGCUCUUUUAGCCGGGAUGAUAAUGACAGUACCGGGAGAAUAAGCUCCGGCUAACUACGUG